UGGUGCUUCAUUUUCAAGGAGGCAGGGCUCUUGGAGCUCUACAAAAGGAACCUCUGUCUCUGAGCUCUUCACUCGUUGACUUGAAUCUCCAUUGAGCUGACAGGUUCUGACUGCUGUACAAGCUUCAUUCCCUCAAAAUGUCCUGUUGUGGAGGCCAGAGUUCCUGCUGUUCCAGAUGUGGCAGCUCUCCCUGCUGCUGCCAAAGCCAUCAAGUCUGUUCCAGAUGUGGCAGCUCUCCCUGCUGCUGCCAAAGCCGCCAAGUCUGUUCCAGAUGUGGCAGCUCUCCCUGCUGCUGCCACAGGCGUAGCUGCUGUUCCAGAUGUGGCCGUUCUCCCUGCUGCUGCCAGGGGCGCAGCAGCUGUUCCAGAUGUGGUUGUUCUCCCUGCUGCUGCCACAGACGUAGCUGCUGUUCUAGAUGUGGCUGCUCCCCAUGUUGCUGCUCUAGCCGGGGUUAUUGCAACCAGUCUCGCUAUACUUGCCAGCAGUACAAGUUCU